AUGCCCUAUACAAUUACUUCUGACAGAGACAAAAUAUUUACAAGUCACUUCUGGAAAGAGCUGUUCAGGUUGUGGGGCACCAAACUACAAAUGUCCACUGCCUACCACCCCCAAACUGAUGGGCAAACCGAGAGGGUUAACCAGUGUUUAGAGAUGUAUUUGAGAUGUGCUGUUUCUGAACACCCAAAGCAAUGGUCUCAGUGGCUCCCCCUUGCCGAAUUCUGGUACAAUUCAUCUUACCACUCGUCUCUGGGCUGCACUCCUUUCAAGGCUGUUUAUGGCCAUGAACCAAAUUUGGGGUAG
rnacentral:rRNA from 1 species